UACGGGGGGAGCAAGCGUUGUUCGGAUUUACUGGGCGUAAAGGGCGCGUAGGCGGUCAGCACAAGUCAGUUGUGAAAUCUCCGGGCUUAACUCGGAAAGGUCAACUGAUACUGUGAGACUAGAGUGCAGAAGGGGCAACUGGAAUUCUCGGUGUAGCGGUGAAAUGCGUAGAUAUCGAGAGGAACACCUGCGGCGAAGGCGGGUUGCUGGGCUGACACUGACGCUGAUGCGCGAAAGCCAGGGGAGCGAACGGG
rnacentral:rRNA from 1 species